CGCCUUGCCAGCCCGCUCAGAACUUAAAGGAAUUGACGGGGCCGCACAAGCGGAGGAACAUGUGGUUUAAUUCGAUGAUACGCGAGGAACCUUACCCGGGCUUGAAAUGCAUCUGACCGGCCUUGAAAGAGGUUUUCCCUUCGGGGCAGAUGUGUAGGUGCUGCAUGGUUGUCGUCAGCUCGUGCCGUGAGGUGUCGGCUUAAGUGCCAUAACGAGCGCAACCCUCAUCAUUAGUUACCAUCAGGUAAGGCUGGGGACUCUAAUGAGACUGCCAUCGUAAGAUGUGAGGAAGGUGGGGAUGACGUCAAAUCAGCACGGCCCUUACGUCCGGGGCGACACACGUGUUACAAUGGGUGGUACAAAGGGCAGCUACCUGGCGACAGGAUGCUAAUCUCCAAAACCACUCUCAGUUCGGAUCGGAGUCUGCAACUCGACUCCGUGAAGCUGGAUUCGCUAGUAAUCGUGAAUCAGAAUGUCACGGUGAAUACGUUCCCGGGCCUU
rnacentral:rRNA from 1 species